rnacentral:rRNA from 1 species
AACGCUGGCGGCGUGCUUAACACAUGCAAUUCGAACGAUGAAGCCGCUUCGGUGGUGGAUUAGUGGCGAACGGGUGAUUAACACUUGGGCAAUCUGCCCUGCACUCUGGGACAAGCCCUGGAAACGGGGUCUAAUACCGGAUAUGACCUGGUGAGGCAUCUCAUCGGGUGGAAAGCUCCGGCGGUGCAGGAUGAGCCCGCGGCCUAUCAGCUUGUUGGUGGGGUGAUGGCCUACCAAGGCGACAACGGGUAGCCGGCCUGAGAGGGCGACCGGCCACACUGGGACUGAAACACGGCCCAAACUCCUACGGGAGGCAGCAGUGGGGAAUAUUGCACAAUGGGCGAAAGCCUGAUGCAGCGACGCCGCUUGAGGGAUGACGGCCUUCGGGUUGUAAACCUCUUUCAGCAGGGAAGAAGCGCAAUUGACGGUACCUGCAGAAGAAGCGCCGGCUAACUACGUGCCAGCAGCCGCGGUAAUACUUAGGGCGCAAGCGUUGUCCGGAAUUAUUGGGCGUAAAGAGCUCGUAGGCGGCUUGUCCCGUCGGAUGUGAAAGCCCGGGGCUUAACCCCGGGUCUGCAUUCGAUACGGGCAGGCUAGAGUUCGGUAGGGGAGAUCGGAAUUCCUGGUUUUACCGGUGAAAUGCCCANAUAUCANGAAGAACACCGGUUGCCAAAGCNGAUCUCUUGGCCNAUACUGACCCUNAAGAACCAAAACCNUUNGGGAACCAACAGGAUUAGAUACCCUGGUANUCNANGCCGUAAANGUUGGAAAUANGUGUGGGGANAUUCAACGUUGUCCGUGCCGCAGCUAACGCAUUAAGUUCCCCGCCUGGGGAGUACGGCCGCAAGGCUAAAACUCAAAGGAAUUGACGGGGGCCCGCACAAGCGGCGGAGCAUGUGGCUUAAUUUGACGCAAAGCGAAGAACCUUACCAAGGCUUGACAUACAUCGGAAACAUCCAGAGAUGGGUGCCCCCUUGUGGUCGGUGUACAGGUGGUGCAUGGCUGUUGUCAGCUUGUGUUGUGAGAUGUUGGGUUAAGUCCCGCAACGAGCGCAACCCUUGUCCUGUGUUGCCAGCAUGCCCUUCGGGGUGAUGGGGAAUCACAGGAGACUGCCGGGGUCAAAUCGGAGGAAGGUGGGGACGAAGUCAAGUCAUCAUGCCCCUUAUGUUUUGGGCUGCACACGUGCUACAAUGGCCGGUACAAUGAGCUGCGAUGCCGUGAGGUGGAGCGAAUUUCAAAAAGCCGGUUUCAGUUCGGAUUGGGGUUUGCAAAUUGACCCCAUGAAGUCGGAGUUGCUAGUAAUUGCAGAUCAGCAUUGCUGCGGUGAAUACGUUCCCGGGCCUUGUACACACCGCCCGUCAAGUCACGAAAGUCGGUAACACCCGAAGCCGGUGGCCCAACCCCUUGUGGGAGGGAGUUGUCGAAGGUGGGACUGGCGAUUG